rnacentral:rRNA from 1 species
GACGAACGCUGGCGGCGUGCCUAAUACAUGCCAGUAGGACGCAGUUGCGAACGGGUGAGUAACGCGUAGGUAACUACCUAUUAGAGGGGGAUAACUAUUGGAAACGAUAGCUAAUACCGCAUACUAGGAGAUGGACCUGCGUUGUAUUAUCUAGUAGGUAGGGUAAUGGCCUACCUAGGCAACGAUACAUAGCCGACCUGAGAGGGUGAUCGGCCACACUGGAACUGAGACACGGCCCAGAAGCCUAAGGGAGGCAGCCGUAGGGAAUCUUCGGAAAUGGGGGGCACCCCGACCGAGCAACGCCGCGUGAGUGAAGAAGGUUUUCGGAUCGUAAAGCUCUGUUGUUAAGGAAGCGGUACUUAACCAGAAAGGGACGGCUAACUACGUGCCAGCAGCCGCGGUAAUUC